UACGGGGGGGGCAAGCGUUGUUCGGAAUUACUGGGCGUAAAGGGCUCGUAGGCGGCCAACUAAGUCGGAUGUGAAAUCCCCAGGCUUAACCUGGGAACUGCAUCCGAUACUGGAUGGCUUGAAUCCGGGAGAGGGAUGCAGAAUUCCAGGUGUAGCGGUGAAAUGCGUAGAUAUCUGAAGGAACAUCAGUGGCGAAAGCGACUUCCUGGACGAAUACUGACGCUCAUGUGCGAAAGCGUGGGGAGCAAACAGG
rnacentral:rRNA from 1 species